CAGUCGCCGCGGUAAUACGAAGGGGGCUAGCGUUGUUCGGAAUUACUGGGCGUAAAGCGCACGUAGGCGGAUACUUAAGUCAGGGGUGAAAUCCCGGGGCUCAACCCCGGAACUGCCUUUGGUACUGGGUAUCUCGAGUCCGGAAGAGGUGAGUGGAAUUCCGAGUGUAGAGGUGAAAUUCGUAGAUAUUCGGAGGAACACCAGUGGCGAAGGCGGCUCACUGGUCCGGUACUGACGCUGAGGUGCGAAAGCGUGGGGAGCAAACAGGAUUAGAUACCCCAGUAGUCCCUGUCUCUUAUAC
rnacentral:rRNA from 1 species